rnacentral:rRNA from 1 species
UACGGAGGGUGCAAGCGUUACUCGGAAUCACUGGGCGUAAAGCGCGCGCAGGCGGUCUGAUAAGUUGGAUGUGAAAGCCUACGGCUCAACCGUAGAACUGCAUCCAAAACUGUCAGUCUAGAGUCUGGGAGGGGAAGAUGGAAUUAGUUGUGUAGGGGUAAAAUCCGUAGAGAUAACUAGGAAUACCAAAAGCGAAGGCGAUCUUCUGGAACAGUACUGACGCUGAGGCGCGAAAGCGUGGGGAGCAAACAGGAUUAGAAACCCUAGUAGUCC